GACGAACGCUGGCGGCGUGCUUAACACAUGCAAGUCGAACGAAGUGGCGAACGGGUGAGUAACGCGUAAUCAACCUGCCCUUCAGAGGGGGACAACAGUUGGAAACGACUGCUAAUACCGCAUACUGAAGGAGGGGAUUGCGUCUGAUUAGCUAGUUGGAGGGGUAACGGCCCACCAAGGGGAUGAUUAGUAGCCGGGUGGGAGAGGUGGACGGGCACAAUGGGACUGAAGACCGGGCCAGGAUCCUACGGGAGGGAGGAGGGGGGAAAUUUCCGCAAUGGGCGAAAGUCUGGAGGAGGAAAGGCGGGGGAGGGGAGACGGGCCUCGGGGUGUAAAGGUCUGUUAAGCGGGACGCGUUACCGGAAUAGGAAGCAACGGCUAACUACGUGCCAGCAGCCGCGGUAAUAC
rnacentral:rRNA from 1 species